rnacentral:sRNA from 1 species
GGAUCUGAGGGUGAUCUGACUGUGACAUCUGACACCCCAUUGAUUGCCAGGGUUGAUUUGGCUGAUCUGACUGGCUGGGUGGGUGUUCCCUUCCUCCCUCACCAUUCCACGUGUGUCUCUCCCAAAGCUGCAUGUGCAGUCGAAGAGGACAACCAUCCCUGAUAGAGGAGAACCAUUCUUCAGUCAAGGGUGUAUGAGUAGCUGUACUCCUCUGCUAGAACCUCUAACCAAGCUCUCAAGGUCUUUCCCUUGAUUUAAUUUUUGUGUUGUGACUGACUUGGUUGUUAGCUAGAUCGAUG